UACAGAGGUCUCAAGCGUUGUUCGGAUUCAUUGGGCGUAAAGGGUGUGUAGGUGGCGCGCUAAGUCGGGUGUGAAAUUCGGAGCUUAACUCCGAAACUGCAUUCGAUACUGGCGUGCUUGAGGACUGGAGAGGAGACUGGAAUUCAUGGUGUAGCAGUGAAAUGCGUAGAGAUCAUGAGGAAGACCAGUGGCGAAGGCGGGUCUCGUGGACAGUUCCUGACACUGAGGCACGAAGGCCAGGGAGCAAACGGG
rnacentral:rRNA from 1 species